rnacentral:rRNA from 1 species
UGGCGAACGGGUGAGUAACACGUGAGUAACCUGCCCUUGACUUUGGGAUAACUUCAGGAAACUGGGGCUGAUACCGGAUAGGAGCUCCUGCUGCAUGGUGGGGGUUGGAAAGUUUCGGCGGUUGGGGAUGGACUCGCGGCUUAUCAGCUUGUUGGUGGGGUAGUGGCUUACCAAGGCUUUGACGGGUAGCCGGCCUGAGAGGGUGACCGGCCACAUUGGGACUGAGAUACGGCCCAG